rnacentral:rRNA from 1 species
UACGUAGGGGGCUAGCGUUGUCCGGAUUUAUUGGGCGUAAAGAGCGUGUAGGCGGCCAGGUAGGUCUGGUGUGAAAACUCGAGGCUUAACCUCGAGAUGUCAUCGGAAACCAUUUGGCUAGAGUCCGGAAGAGGAGAGUGGAAUUCCUGGUGUAGCGGUGAAAUGCGCAGAUAUCAGGAAGAACACCAAUGGCGAAGGCAGCUCUCUGGGACGGUACUGACGCUGAGACGCGAAAGCGUGGGGAGCGAACAGG